rnacentral:miRNA from 3 species
UAGCCUCUCCUUGGCUUUGUCU